GUCCACGAUGGCCGAGAUAUCAGGCAUCGAGCUUUUAACUCGACCACAGUUAUUAUUUAACUUCAGGACA
rnacentral:tRNA from 2 species